AAGAGACCGCGGGGGUGGAAAAGGCCACUCGCCCGAGAUUGCGCGCGGAAGUGGACCUUCUUUCUCGCAACGGGGUAGCGGCGCCGGGAUACCCCAGAACUGCUAGUCGUAUGAAGCCGUGGGAGUGGGGAAGGCUGACUUCCGUCUUCAAGGCUUACUCUGGAACAUAAUGUUGAGUGAAGGCUGUCAGGAGACAAAAAGCCCUAAGCCUGAAAUGCGUAUCAUCUGGCACAAAGACAUCGUUUACAUCUGUUGAAUAGCCGCGUGCUUAGACUUGAUCUGACCUUAUUCACCACUCAUACUGUAAGUCUCUGAGUGUAGUCUAUUCCUCUUUUCUCUGAAUUCAACAGUCUUUAAUUAUAUUGUGUCCAGUGUUGCUCGUACUCGUUUCAUGCAUGUGAAUCUCAUCUACCUGGCUAUAGUGUAAGCUUAUAAGGACUGAGCCUGAUAAACGUUUUACCUUUCCUAAAGUGCUGGCAGCAUGACAUUUACAGAUGUUACUUGACUUACUUUGGGGUUACCACCUGCUAAACCCAUCGAAGUUGAAAUAUCUCGAGUUGAAAAUGCAUUUAAUACACCCAACCUACUGAACACCACAGCUUAGCCUAGCCUACUUUAAACGUUCUGAGAACAUUUACAUUAGCCUAUAGUCAAGCAAAGUCAUCUAACACAAAGCCUAUUUUAUCAUAAAGUGUUGAAUAUAUCAAGUAAUGUAUUGAAUACUGUACAUUACUUCAAAAUUGUAGUGGUUUCGUACCCUCAUAAAGUUGAAAAAUCGGAAGUCAAACCGUCAUAAGUAGGGGACGAUCUAUACUUCGUUGCCUAAAAGUUUUUUUUUUUGACACUGUAUUAGGAGAUAUGAUCAUAUUCCCGCUAGUCUGAUUCCCCUAGAAUCUUGGGUAGGAAAAUGUUUGAAUUCCUUAGGCUACUCUAACAGUUCAAAGCCCUGAGAAUCUCUUCCUCCACAACUACUUGUUGCUAAUGAAGCUUUUGCCUGUUGAUUGAAAGAGUCAGACCUACAGUGAAAGCAUUAACUUAUAGAAUAGAUGGUCUCUGCCAUAGCUGAUACUGUCAGUGAAGCACCCACAGCUUUUCUGAUCCUUUUUUAGCUCUGGGGUCCAUCUCCCACUUUCUGUUUGGUUUCCUUUCAAUCAAUCCACUACACUAUUAUUCCCCAACCCAGAAUUGUCCCAAGGGAACCAUAGCCAUUGCCGGAGUAGUGUCUGAGUAUGAAAGCAAAACUUAUUUGCCUCAAAGCUAGAUAAGCCUGAAGGCAUGACUUAUGCUCCAGAGCUCUCCACAGGAUCAGGCUGAGGCCAGACAUCAUCCGGAAUUAUACCUUUGCUUGGCCUUUCUCCUUUCCCUGUCUUACUCCUCAUUCUCUUCUUAAAGUAGUGAGGCAAUUAGGAUCUGUACUUAAUAGUGUCUGGGUUGUAGCAUAAAAGUAAUGGAAAAAAGCUUUGUGUUCCAUGAUUUUAAAUAUUACAGUUUAAUAAGUCUUUGUUAUUCAGCCAGGAUGUGUAUCUUUGGAACUCACAAUGAGCAAUAUAAACCAUCAACGAAACCAGACCUCAGGAGUCUUUCUGCCCUGCCCUUUAGAAGGUCACAUUCUGCCCUGAGAAGGAUGAUAGAAAUAAAGAAACAGCACUUUGAGAGGCCGAGGCAGGCAGACUGCUUGAGGUCAGCAGUUUGAGA